rnacentral:rRNA from 1 species
AAGUAAAAGUCGUAACAAGGUUUCCGUAGGUGAACCUGCGGAAGGAUCAUUACCGAAUUGUCAACACGAGUUGUUGCUGGUCCUCAAACGGGGGCAUGUGCACGCUCUGUUCACACAUCCACUCACACCUGUGCACCCUCUGUAGUUCUAUGGUCUGGGGGGGCUCUGCCCUCUCGCCGUGGUUCUAUGUCUUUACACACGCACUGUAAUAAAGUUUCAUGGAAUGCAUGACGCGUUUAACGCAAUACAAUACAACUUUCAGCAACGGAUCUCUUGGCUCUCGCAUCGAUGAAGAACGCAGCGAAAUGCGAUAAGUAAUGUGAAUUGCAGAAUUCAGUGAAUCAUCGAAUCUUUGAACGCACCUUGCGCCCUUUGGUAUUCCAGAGGGCAUGCCUGUUUGAGUAUCAUGAACACCUCAACUCUCACGGUCCGCCGUGAUGAGCUUGGACUUUGGGGGUCUUGCUGGCCUGCGGGUCGGCUCCUCUCAAAUGAAUCAGCUUGCCAGUGUUUGGUGGCAUCACGGGUGUGAUAACUAUCUACGCUUGUGGUUUUCCACCAGGUAACCUUCAGCAAUGGAGGUUCGCUGGGGCUCACAAAUGUCUCUCCUCGGUGAGGACAACUUCUUGAAUGUUUGAUCUCAAAUCAGGUAGGGCUACCCGCUGAACUUAAG